UGUGCAUCAAGUAGGUAGUGCACACCCAGGUGCUACUGCAGUUUAUUGUCCUCUAAUAAACUGCAGUAGCACCUGGGUGUGCACUACCUACUUGA